UACAGAGGGUGCGAGCGUUAAUCGGAAUUACUGGGCGUAAAGCGCACGUAGGCGGCUUGGUAUGUCGGGGUGUGAAAUCCCGGGCUCAACCUGGGAACUGACAUCCGAAACUGCCUUGCUAGAGGUAUGGGAGAGGGAAGUGGAAUUCCGGGUGUAGCGGUGAAAUCGCGUAGAGUAUCGGAAAGGAACAUCAGUGGCGAAGGCGGGAUUCUCUGGGCCUGACGUGACGCUGACGGAGCGAAAGCGUGGG
rnacentral:rRNA from 1 species